rnacentral:rRNA from 1 species
AACGAACGCUGGCGGCAGGCUUAACACAUGUUUAGUCGAGCGCCCCGCAAGGGGAGCGGCAGACGGGGGAGUAACGCGUGGGAAUCUACCCAGCUCUACGGAACAACUCCGGGAAACUGGAGCUAAUACCGUAUACGUCCUUCGGGAGAAAGAUUUAUCGGAGUUGGAUGAGCCCGCGUUGGAUUAGCUAGUUGGUGGGGUAAUGGCCUACCAAGGCGACGAUCCAUAGCUGGUCUGAGAGGAUGAUCAGCCACACUGGGACUGAGACACGGCCCAGACUCCUACGGGAGGCAGCAGUGGGGAAUAUUGGACAAUGGGCGAAAGCCUGAUCCAGCCAUGCCGCGUGAGUGAUGAAGGCCCUAGGGUUGUAAAGCUCUUUCACCGGUGAAGAUAAUGACGGUAACCGGAGAAGAAGCCCCGGCUAACUUCGUGCCAGCAGCCGCGGUAAUACGAAGGGGGCUAGCGUUGUUCGGAUUUACUGGGCGUAAAGCGCGUGUAGGCGGGCUUGCAAGUUGGGGGUGAAAUCCCGAGGCUCAACCUCGGAACUGCCUCCAAAACUGCAAGCCUGGAGCAAGAUAGAGGCAAGUGGAAUUGCGAGUGUAGAGGUGAAAUUCGUAGAUAUUCGCAGGAACACCAGUGGCGAACGCG